rnacentral:lncRNA from 1 species
GUCAAGGGCACCCGAUUCUUGCUUCUUGGAGACCUAAUUAGCGGCAACUACAGUCAAUUUCGCAUAGUGAGUGACCACUCUUCGAUCGCCUAAUAAUUGAAGAUGACGAACAUGAGGUGUCCCUUCUGGAGAAUCGAGAUGGAUGGUUAUAAUUUAAAAUUAAGAUUUAGUCCUCCAUAGUUGCAUCGAUCGCCUACUGUCUCAUCCGCUUCACUACUUCAGCGCUUCUCUUGCCCUCUCUCUCGAUCAUUUCUCUUAUAUUCUUCUUUCUUUCUAAAUCUUAUAUUCUACUUCUUUCUUUGUAUUGCUCUUAAUUUGUUAUUUUGUUGUGUUAAAGACUUAAAGUGAAGAUUUAAAGGUGCAAUACCGACAUACCGGGUCCUAAAUCCUAAUCCAGUAAGCUUUUUCUAGUAUUUCAAAUUUCUUUAUGUGCUGCGUUUUGAACUUCAUAAUCCCAUAUUCCCCUAAUUCUUAUUAGAUGUGUUUUUAUUGAAUGCUAUUUGAGUGAAAUAUGCCCUUUUGGAGUUCAAGCAGCCAACAACUAAGUGUUUUAUUCCUUUUCUGGAGUUCCAACAACCCAGUAGUAAGUUUUUUGAUUCCUAACUCUAGUAUUCUGAUUAGGUGCCUUUUUAAAUGAAUGCUUCUUGUUAGUUUUCUUCCGCAAAUUGUUUUCUAUGACUUGAAAUAGUAUGGUCUGAACUUUUGUGAAACCUUUCCAAAAUUAUGCAAUUUUCUUUUAAUUCACAUCAUUAGUAUAUUAAUGUUUCUAAUGAAGCAAUGUAAGUAAACACACUUCCUAUAAAUUUAUAAGUUUAUUGUAGUGUGAAGAAAUGGUUGAAGUAAACAAGGCAAGACAAUUGGAUCAUGAAUCUCUUUUGAAGAAACAAAAGAGAAUAAAGAAUGUUCUUUAGCAAAGAAGCACGAGAAUGAACUCUCGAGGAAGGAAAAUGUUGCUAACAGGAAACAUGAAGUUGAUAACCAAAGAAGUCAAAUAGUACCCCAAAGAAUAUGAGGACCAAAUGCAGAUAAUUAGUCAUAUUUACUGCCUCUUUAUAUAAUGUUCAUAUUUAAUAAUCUAUGUACAUGGAUUUGAUUUUAAAUUCAGUAACUGAAGCUAAUUUAGUUAAAACCUGAAGCAAGACUGGAUGGCAGAUUCAAUUUGAACCCAUAACCAAUGAUGUUGUUCAUUCUUCGUAUUCGUGGGUCAGUGCUUAUAUUACCAAUAAAUUAGCAAUCUUGAGUACUAUAUUUUGUUUUUUUAUUGUUAACAAUCAUAUAGUAUUUAAUGUAAUUGCUUCAACAAAUGUACAAAUUGUUUAGGUGAUUUUUGCUAACUUUUUACAUGUAUUGAUCUGAGUUUUAGUUAAUUGAUGAAAUUUACAGCACUUUUGUUUUAUAAAAUUUUGUAAUGUGUGUUGUGUGUUGGGUGACACGAACAAAUGGGCAUUAUUAUUAGACUCGCCCAGGGCAAUGUGGACCGAUGGACCGGCCCUUUGUAAUCAUCAAGACUGUUGUAGCAUUGUAGGUUUUAAGUCGAUCACUUUGCGUCUUUGGCCAAUAUACGAUCAGUCGAUCACUUUAGGUUUUCAGAUCAUAUGGUUGUCAAUGAGGAUUGUGGACAAAGGUCGCACCAUUGCAGGAGGCUUGGGGCUUGGGCGGUGAAUGCUAUGGCAAAACUAAAGGAAAGGACGAGUGAAAGAUGAGUUGAUUCAAUUUUUUGGAGUCCUCCUUCUUCAAAUGAAAGUUGCGCAUUCCUUCAAUUUCUCAGCUAAUUUAUUUUUAUUAAUU